GGGAUUGCCUCAGUAACGGCGAGUGAAGCGGCAAUAGCUCAAAUUUGAAAUCUGGCCUCCUUCGGGGUCCGAGUUGUAAUUUGUAGAGGGUGCUUCGGGGGAGACCGCGGUCUAAGUCCAUUGGAACAUGGCGUCAUAGAGGGUGAGAAUCCCGUCUGCGACCGCGGAUCGAGCCCAUGUGAAGCCUCUUCGACGAGUCGAGUUGUUUGGGAAUGCAGCUCAAAAUGGGUGGUAAAUUUCAUCUAAAGCUAAAUACUGGCUGGAGACCGAUAGCGCACAAGUAGAGUGAUCGAAAGAUGAAAAGCACUUUGGAAAGAGAGUUAAACAGUACGUGAAAUUGUUGAAAGGGAAGCGCUGGCGACCAGACCUGCCCGCGGGCGAUCAACCGCUGUUCUCAGCGGUGCACUCGCUCCGCGAUCAGGCCAGCAUCGGUUUCGGCGGUCGGAUAAAGGCCUUGGGAACGUAGCUCCCCCCCGGGGGAGUCUUAUAGCCCUCGGCGCAAUGCGGCCAGCCGGGACCGAGGACCGCGCUUCGGCUAGGAUGCUGGCGUAAUGGUCGUCAGCGACCCGUCUUGAAACACGGACCAAGGAGUCUAACAUCUAUGCGAGUGUUUGGGUGUCAAACCCACACGCGGAAUGAAAGUGAACGGAGGUGAGAACCCUUAAGGGCGCAUCAUCGACCGAUCCAGAUGUCUUCGGAUGGAUUUGAGUAUGAGCAUAGCUGUUGGGACCCGAAAGAUGGUGAACUAUGCCUGAAUAGGGUGAAGCCAGAGGAAACUCUGGUGGAGGCUCGCAGCGGUUCUGACGUGCAAAUCGAUCGUCAAAUUUGGGUAUAGGGGCGAAAGACUAAUC
rnacentral:rRNA from 1 species